rnacentral:rRNA from 1 species
CCUACGGGUGGCAGCAGUCGAGAAUCAUUCACAAUGGGCGAAACCCUGAUGGUGCGACGCCGCGUGGAGGAAUGAAGGUCUUCGGAUGUUAAGCACCUGUCGUCUGGGAGAAAGUGAAAAAGAUAGUACCACAGGAAGAAGAGGCGACUAACACGGUGCUAGCAGCCGCGGUAAUACAGAGGUGUCAAGCGUUGUUGGGAAUCACUGGGCGUAAAGCGUACGCAGGCUGUUUCGUAAGGCGUGUGUGAAAGGCCCGGGCUCAACCCGAGGCCUGCAAAUGAUACUGGGAGAUUAGAGUAAUGGAGGGGGAGACAGAAUUCCCGGUGUAGCAGUGAAAUGCGUAGAGAUCUAGAGGAAUACCGGUGGCGAAGGCGGGUUCCUGGACAUUAACUGACGCUGAGGUACGAAGGCCAGGGGAGCGAAAGGGAUUAGAUACCCUUGUAGUC